rnacentral:rRNA from 1 species
UACGGGGGGAGCAAGCGUUGUUCGGAUUUACUGGGCGUAAAGGGCGCGUAGGCGGCCACCGCAAGUCGACUGUGAAAUCUCCGGGCUUAACCCGGAAAGGUCAGCCGAUACUGCGGGGCUAGAGUGCAGAAGGGGCAACUGGAAUUCUCGGUGUAGCGGUGAAAUGCGUAGAUAUCUGGAGGAACACCGGUGGCGAAGGCGGCAUCCUGGACCGAUAUUGACGCUGAUGCGCGAAAGCCAGGGGAGCAAACGGG